rnacentral:rRNA from 1 species
AUGCGUUGUUGGGUAGGGGAGCGUUCUGUAAGCCUGUGAAGGUGUGCUGUGAGGCAUGCUGGAGGUAUCAGAAGUGCGAAUGCUGACAUAAGUAACGAUAAAGCGGGUGAAAAGCCCGCUCGCCGGAAGACCAAGGGUUCCUGUCCAACGUUAAUCGGGGCAGGGUGAGUCGACCCCUAAGGCGAGGCCGAAAGGCGUAGUCGAUGGGAAACAGGUUAAUAUUCCUGUACUUGGUGUUACUGCGAAGGGGGGACGGAGAAGGCUAUGUUGGCCGGGCGACGGUUGUCCCGGUUUAAGCGUGUAGGCUGGUUUUCCAGGCAAAUCCGGAAAAUCAAGGCUGAGGCGUGAUGACGAGGCACUACGGUGCUGAAGCAACAAAUGCCCUGCUUCCAGGAAAAGCCUCUAAGCAUCAGGUAACAUCAAAUCGUACCCCAAACCGACACAGGUGGUCAGGUAGAGAAUACCAAGGCGCUUGAGAGAACUCGGGUGAAGGAACUAGGCAAAAUGGUGCCGUAACUUCGGGAGAAGGCACGCUGAUAUGUAGGUGAAGCGACUUGCUCGUGGAGCUGAAAUCAGUCGAAGAUACCAGCUGGCUGCAACUGUUUAUUAAAAACACAGCACUGUGCAAACACGAAAGUGGACGUAUACGGUGUGACGCCUGCCCGGUGCCGGAAGGUUAAUUGAUGGGGU